UACGUAGGGUGCAAGCGUUGUCCGGAAUUAUUGGGCGUAAAGAGCUCGUAGGCGGUUUGUCGCGUCGGGAGUGAAAACUCAGGGCUUAACCCUGAGCGUGCUUCCGAUACGGGCAGACUAGAGGUAUGCAGGGGAGAACGGAAUUCCUGGUGUAGCGGUGGAAUGCGCAGAUAUCAGGAAGAACACCAAUGGCGAAGGCAGCUCUCUGGGACGGUACUGACACUGAGACGCGAAAGCGUGGGGAGCGAACAGG
rnacentral:rRNA from 1 species